UGUUAAAAAUUUUAUUAAUUUUUACUAUUAAAAAUUAGGAUGGUUGAUAAAAUAAUCAGAUAAUUACAUAUGACGUAUUAGAUGUACCUUAUUUUGACAUAUAGUGAGUAGUUUUUAACAGUUAAAAUGAAUGAAAAUUUUAAUU
rfam:Gossypium hirsutum cultivar TM-1 chromosome 23, whole genome shotgun sequence